AAUAAGAACACAGGGGAAACAAAGUGGGACCUUGCAGUGCAAAAAUGAAAAAGAAAUGUAUACAAUGUUAAUACUUCUUUUUACUUUCCUUGUACAGUAAUACAUUUCCUAUGCCUCAAAUA
rnacentral:ribozyme from 1 species